rnacentral:rRNA from 1 species
UACGGAGGGUGCAAGCGUUAUCCGGAUUCACUGGGUUUAAAGGGUGCGUAGGUGGAUUGGUAAGUCAGUGGUGAAAUCUCCGGGCUUAACCCGGAAACUGCCAUUGAUACUAUCAGUCUUGAAUACCGUGGAGGUCAGUAGAAUAUGUCAUGUAGCGGUGAAAUGCUUAGAUAUGACAUAGAACACCAAUUGCGAAGGCAGCUGGCUACACAAAUAUUGACACUGAGGCACGAAAGCGUGGGGAUCAAACAGG